rnacentral:miRNA from 5 species
UAUUAUGCUGUUAUUCACGAGA